CUCGCAUUGUGUUAAUUUUUACAUACACAGUAAUUAUGGAAAGAAAGUUGAGAACAGUUGGACUUUAGGUAACUUUUUCUUCGGCAUUGAGUUUGUGAAAGAUCUUGCUGUUUCCCUGUGGGUGUGAGUCAACGGAGCUUCAAACAUCAUUGCCAACCUUUCCACCUCCAUAGCUUGUUUGUCCUGCUUGGCAAAUCCAGUGAGCAUCUUGGCUUGGAAACCACCCGACAGAGCGAUAAAUGGCAGGAAGCACAGGAUGAGCAGUGUCAGCUUCCAACUGAAGUAGAAGGACAUGAGGAUGGCCACUCCAAUGUUGGUCAGAGAGUUGACAAUCAUGCCAAUCUGGGAGCCAGUGGCCUUUGGAGAAGAAAGUUUGUGCAAUGAUGAAUCCACAGCAUUCCGGAGCAGAAAGAAGACUAAUUGGGCAUGACUACACACCAGAAGUAAGUGAGGUAAGUACUUUACACUCGGAUUCAAAGCAGUAAGAUUCCAACGUUAAGACAGCACGUUACUUUUUUUUUACACCUGUAAAUAUAAUUAAUGAAGUUUUUAUGAUGGCGAUUUGACACUUUGUAUAUCCAUCCAUCCAUUUUAUGAGCCGCUUGUCCUCACAAGGAUUGGGGAACUACUAGAGCCUAUCCGAGCUGUCAUAGGGUAGGACACGGUACACCCUGAACUGGUUGCCAGCCAAUCGCAGGGCACAUGGAGACAGACAACAGUGGCACUCGCAAUCACCCCUCGGGGCAAUUUAGAGUCUCCAAUGAAUUCAUGUUUUUGGGAUGUGGGAGGAAACCGGA